CGCCUGCCGGGACGGGGGCCGGCGCGGACACGGAGGGGAAGGCGCCCAACGGCAACCCAGACGCCCUCGGCCGCAGAGACCUACCGUUAUUCAAGUUGAAGAGGAAGCUGCACAUGUAUUUAUCGUACACUUUCCCUCUCCUGUCUGCCUCAUCUUGGGAAAUGAUCUGAAAAGACAGGGCACAGGCCGUUUUGGAGGUGACGACCAGGCCCGGUCGCCUCUGGACUUCCGGGCCACCCCCAAGACGCCCGGCCGGGGGCGGUGUGGCACUUCACUCGGUCCCGUUCAGUUUCGACUCAGGAAUUUCCACACCCAAGUCACUGCUCGGAAAGUCGUCAGCAGGCCCCAGUUGCUGCGUCCUCGUGCAUCGGGCCAAGGAUCAAGGAGGAGAGACUGUGAUGUUCUCCCCAGGGUCCGCUGUGGCAAAAACUGACCGGGACUGACACAGACGCUUUAGACCAAACCCACCUGCGGGAGCCAAGUCCAAGUUCAUCGAACCCAACGGAUCUGCGCAAACCCAGCCCCGGGAGGGGUGCGUCACCCCCGCGGAGCUGGACCAGGCCUCACCUCACCGCAGUACUCGGAGAUGAACUCGUUCUUCUGCACAGGGUCUUUGAUGAAGAUGCCCCAGCCCGCCACGUCGGACGGUGCCAACAGCAAAUGCUAGAGAACGAAGCAGAAUCACAGUCAAACAAGGAGAGCAAGAGUGGGCGGGUGGCAGCUCAACCACGGCUGGUCACUGCAAACCCCCAGACCUGCUCUACAGCAGAAUGAAGGCCGCGGGGAGGAAGGCCGAGGUGCGCCCGCGCUGAGGGCACGGCCCAGGGCUGACCGCCGCUGCACGUCGGCAACGGAUCAAAGGGUUUCUGGAGGCGCACACGUCAGCAUGAGCAGAAUUACCCACUUUGUGAACAGAGGGAGUUUCUCGCACUACAGUAAGGAUGGCGUGGUUGAGAAAUGGUGAGAUUUUUUGGUUGGAACGAUGUGCCGGGGGCACUACCACCACGGCGACCUGAGGGCCUGAGUGGACAUUAACCGCCUGGGGUCCGAUGCCGUCACAGAAGCCACUGCAAGGCUGUUGGGGUGAUUAAAGAAACAGGAACGGAGACGGCAAAGCCUCCAUGGGAACCUCACGCUACACCCCAAGGAACCUAGAGCCUGGCCGACGAGGACAGCCCUGCCCGGGACGGGAGUGCUGCUGCACUCGGCACCAGGGACACCAGGGAAGUUUACUAUUCUUUUUUUUUUUUUAAAGAUUUAUUUUUAUACAAGAGCUGGGGUGCAGGCCAGAGGGGAGGGGGGUGAGGAUUCACCACAGACUGAGUGGGGAGCAGAACAGGUGGAGCUACUGACACACACUGCUGAGGGAGCAGCAGGGUGACAGGAGAGGUCUGCCACGCCAUGUGGGUAGCUCCCUGGCUGGCCUGCUGGGAAUAAAACCUGCGCUGCAGAGAGCUGCACAGCACUGCGCUCCACCCGCUGCACCACCGGGGAGGCCCUAAAUGUACUAGUUCUGACGACUAAACGUACAAAGAAAUUCCAUCUGUUGCGGAACUAGGCAAAUGCUGCUUACUCCAAAUGUGGUACUACUAAGGGCUCCUCUCGUGCCAAGUACAGUGCUCUGGGGGCGGGGGCGGGGGGCAGG